rnacentral:rRNA from 1 species
UACGUAGGGGCCAAGCGUUGUCCGGAUUUAUUGGGCGUAAAGAGCUCGUAGGCGGUUCGGCAAGUCAGCUGUGAAAUCUCCACGCUCAACGUGGAGGGGUCAGCUGAUACUGCUGUGACUCGAGUCCGGUAGGGGAGUGUGGAAUUCCCGGUGUAGCGGUGAAAUGCGUAGAUAUCGAGAGGAACACCUGCGGCGAAGGCGGGUUGCUGGGCCGACACUGACGCUGAUGCGCGAAAGCUAGGGGAGCGAACGGG